UUUAAAUUAGGGUAAACUCACCUAAUUGUGUGACUCACUUAAUUCGGAGAUACAACGUUUGGACUCUUAACACAGCGUAUUAGGAGUAAAAUCCAAUACAUUAAAAUUAACCCUAGGGUAGGGUAAUAAAGCUUCUUUUCGUGUACAAGUUUUUGUUAAGAUCGUGCGAGUGAAAUAGUAACAAUCACGGGAUUUGUCAUUGCGCCCGCCAUGUUUGACGUUUCACCGGUAGCGUGCGACUAUGCUGUCAUUAUUUAAUUAGUUUUAAAUAGAAAAGACAGCAUGGAGGAAGACAAAAAUAAAAAUAGAAAAUAUAAUGAAACAACCCUGACAUCCGCAAUUCAAAGUAUUCUGCAGUCAAAAAUGAGUCCGUACACACUACACACAAACAAUUUAUAAAGUCCAAUAUUGUUUUUUAUUGUUCCCCUCUUUUGAUAGUUUCUCGUUGAUUAAUAAAUACAUAAUUAUUACUUUCAAUAUAUUAUAUUUUUUAUUCAUUUUAUUUUUUUGUUACUUUUGUGUUAAAAAAUAAUAAAUACUCACUUAAUUCGGUUAUAACAGAAUUAGAGAAGUACUAUCACCGAAUUAAAGUGAUUGUCACAGAAUUAGACAAGUCAUCGCGGUUUGAUUAAGCUCAUUUUACGCUGAGUUAAUUCAUAUGUGUUAAGAUUACACUUGCUCAUAUGAUAAAUAGAAGACUGAUUAAUGAUCCUAUUAAAAAUAAAAAUAAAAUUUAUAAAGUUUAA